rnacentral:rRNA from 1 species
AGGUUAAGUUAGAAAGGGCGCACGGUGAAUGCCUUGGCACUAGGAGCCGAUGAAGGACGGUACUAACACCGAUAUGCUUCGGGGAGC